rnacentral:lncRNA from 1 species
CUUGGCACUCUCCAGCGGUUGGUUUUUCCAGUAAGGAGUCCUAUAAUUGGUGGACAGGCCUGCAGAACGCAGUGAGGCCUGUUCCUCAAGGUGGAAGUCAACUGGGACAAGAACCCAUGGCAUGUGCAGCUCUCAACCAUCUUGCAGCAGAUAUGAAGAAUACAGGACUAGAACACUCAGCUCUAAAGGCAGCACCUGCAUUACCAGUCCCCAGUCUCCCCUAGAGCUCACGGGUGUUUUCCUCAUCAGAUUCACCAGCCAGUCACUCCCAGAGUAAUUGAGCUAAACUGCAAAGAAGACUCUGAGACCAGACCAGCUGUCUGGAAGAAGCAGAAAGCAGUCCAGCUGCCUGGAAGAGGUUC